rnacentral:lncRNA from 1 species
UUCAGAAAUCCUGUCUGACAGACAUACAGACACUUUGGAAAUAGGAAUUCCAGUUUGCACUGCUACAAAUAUACCCCAGAUGAAAAUACAGGACAGACUGGUGACUUGUUGGCAAUUUGGUGCCAACCAGGAUGCCAAGACUUCCACUGCUUCCAGCACUUCCAGCAACUCAAAGCUGCUUUGCAUUCAGUUCAUCCCCAGUCUGUACCAGUACAUGAAGUAACACUCCCAGGAAUGGGCUAGGAGUGCUCAAGAGACUGGGGAGAGGACACAGCUGGGACAGGUGAC